GGAAGGAUCAUUAUUGAAUGAACUUGGUGUGGUUGUUGCUGGCCCUCUUGGGGGCAUGUGCACACUCGCCAUUCUCAUCUCUCCACCUGUGCACCUCUUGUAGACUUGGAUUGACUUUCCGAGGCAACUCGGUCGGUAGAACUGCUGUGCUUGUUGAGCCGGCUUUUCUUGCAUUUCCAGGUCUAUGUUUUUCAUAUACCCUUCGUAUGUAACAGAAUGUAUCAUUGGGCCUUUUGGCCUAUAUAAACCUUAUACAACUUUCAGCAACGGAUCUCUUGGCUCUCGCAUCGAUGAAGAACGCAGCGAAAUGCGAUAAGUAAUGUGAAUUGCAGAAUUCAGUGAAUCAUCGAAUCUUUGAACGCACCUUGCGCUCCUUGGUAUUCCGAGGAGCAUGCCUGUUUGAGUGUCAUUAAAUUCUCAACCUUAUUAGCUUUUGCUAAUAAUGGCUUGGAUUUGGGGGUCUUUUUGCCGGCUUCUUCACCGAGGUCAGCUCCCCUUAAAUGCAUUAGCUGGUGCCCUGUGUGGACUUGUCUAUUGGUGUGAUAAUUAUCUACGCCGUGGAUGUCUGCAAUAUUAUGGGUUUGCACUGCUUCUAACUGUCUGUUUGUUUCAGACAAUACAUGACAAUUUGACCUCAAAUCAGGUAGGACUACCCGCUGAACUUUAAGCAUAU
rnacentral:sRNA from 1 species